GUUAGAAGAAAAGCGAGAAAUAGCUCAAGUUUGGAUGGCGGCCUACAAGCAGAAAGUAGCCCGCUACUACAAUUCUCGGAUCAAAAGCAAAGUCUUCAAGGCGAGGGACCUGGUACUACGAUGAGCUGCUGUCUCACAACCUCAGAAUCAAGAAAAACUUGCCCCAAACUGGGAAGGCCCAUAUGAAGUUAAAGAGGUGGUCCGACCCGGAACAUACUAUCUAA
rnacentral:lncRNA from 1 species